rnacentral:sRNA from 1 species
ACUCUACAAUUCUUUGGCAGUUAGGGAAGGCGUUCUAAUGUUGGAAGAAGUGUUUUAACUUUAAAUUGAAGAUGAGAAUUAGCAAGUGGAUUAAGAAAGAAAGGCCAUACCAUGCAGAGGGACUGGACCCUGAAAAAUCAAGGAGGACUGACAGAACUCCAUAAAUCAAAGAUAUGUUAAUAAUUUAGGACAUAUGGAUAUUGUUCAAAACAUUUUAUGAGCAAUGAUAUUCAAAGAGAAAAAAAAAAUACUCCGUUUCCUCACUGAGGACCCAGGAGGCAUUUACCCAAGUUACUUUUGUCGUGGUGUGAAGCUGAAGUGAGCGCAAAUAACAUCCCAUGUGGAAGAACUUCCACAAGAAGAAAUCCAAAGGUUCACUAGGCACAAUCAAUUUUCCAAUCAAUUAAACUUGAGAUGUCUGAGUCCUUAAAAAAGACAAGAUAAAACCAAAAUGCAUCACCAACACACAACCAAUUGAUGUGCUGGCAUCUUAGCUUGGCCCUGCAGAGGCAGAGAGAAAAGAAGAGGAGCUGUUGCGAUUUCCACAUCUAACAGCUUCUGGCUAUUUCGCAACUGCUGGGUUUGAGUCCUACUGUUGCCGUGGCUGAAAAGAGAAGUAAAAUCCAACUUGUGAGACCAUGCACAAGGAAUUAGGCUUUGGCUGCAGCGGUGCUGAAGCCCAUGCUAUGACAGAAGAAGCAGGCCUUUGAAGCUAUCCUCGGGUUAAGAAGUGGUGCCCUAAAGAGGCAAGCAUCCCUUUCUCCGUUCUGCUUUAAGACCCCACAUCUGAAGGAGACAGACUUGAGGCAUUCACAAGCAUCCAAGGAUACUGGCUCACUGCUGGCUUCCUGUACUUUCUUGAGAAAAGUGUUUUCUUUUUACUGACUCUCACUGCUUCCUUUUGGCCUGGUACCACUGAUGGAACCUGGCAGAUAAUGGGAUUUGAGGAGUUAAGUAUCUGUUGACACUACAGAUACUCUUAAAUUAGUUAAUCAGACUCAAAUGGGUCAGUGCUUUCCCUUGAUCUUUUGUUGAAGCCUUUUCCAGAACGUUGCCUCCAAAGUGCAUCCUCCCUUUGGUCUGGAAGUUCUGUGGCUACCCUGUACCACUGGGGUCAACGUUUUCCAGUUGGAAGAGGACUACAGGGAGAGAGGGCGGGGUUAUUGGAAGAAGAAGAAGAAAAAAAGAACUAGAUAAAGGAGGGCACAUCCCUCUCACUCCCGCCUUUCUCCUUA